rnacentral:rRNA from 1 species
UAUCGAGCGCCAUCUCGAUCAUUAAAUUAACGAAGUCUGCGUACUGAUUUAUAAUAAAUGCAAAGGCGUUCUCAGUAUCAAAGCUAAAUACCCGAGUAUCCUAGCUAUCGAUAGCAUACAUAUCGCUGAUUCUCGCAUAUCUAAUAUCAUGCAUCAGCGGUGUUCCUCGCUUCAUAAUCGGAAUCACUUACCGUAAUAUCCUCCGAUCAUGAUCGAGAUCAUCGCUGAGGAUACGCUACUAUCAGCGCGAUCCAUCAGCUGAUGGAUUCCACGCUAUAGACGAGCGAUUCCACACUCAUGAUAUCCUCGCUUACUGCUGAGGAUCCUCCAUCAUCGUGAGGAUCCUAUCAAUAUCGGAAGCUAAUCCACUAGCGGAGAUGUCCCUCCAUAAAUCGAGAUGCAUACCAUCAGCGAUUACGUCCCUCGACAUUGUACACACCGCCCGUCGCUACUACCGAUUGAAUGGCUCAGUGAGGCCUUGGGAUUGGCUUAGGAGGGUUGGCAACGACCCCCCAGCAGCCGAAAACUUGGUCAAACUCGGUCAUUUAGAGGAAGUAAAAGUCGUAACAAGGUUUCCGUAGGUGAACCUGCGGAAGGAUCAUUACCGAGUGAGGGCCCUCUGGGUCCAACCUCCCACCCGUGUUUAUUUUACCUUGUUGCUUCGGCGGGCCCGCCUUAACUGACCGCCGGGAGGCUUACGCCCCCGGGCCCGCGCCCGCCGAAGACACCCUCGAACUCUGUCUGAAGAUUGUAGUCUGAGUGAAAAUAUAAAUUAUUUAAAACUUUCAACAACGGAUCUCUUGGUUCCGGCAUCGAUGAAGAACGCAGCGAAAUGCGAUACGUAAUGUGAAUUGCAAAUUCAGUGAAUCAUCGAGUCUUUGAACGCACAUUGCGCCCCCUGGUAUUCCGGGGGGCAUGCCUGUCCGAGCGUCAUUGCUGCCCUCAAGCACGGCUUGUGUGUUGGGCCCCGUCCUCCGAUCCCGGGGGACGGGCCCGAAAGGCAGCGGCGGCACCGCGUCCGGUCCUCGAGCGUAAGGGGCUUUGUCACCCGCUCUGUAGGAUCGACAGGGAAAAGCGGAGCAUUCCACAUUUUUAUUAUGGUAAUUCAGAAUCCGGUAGUUCCCCUGCGUUUAU